rnacentral:rRNA from 1 species
AACGAACGCUGGCGGCAUGCCUAACACAUGCAAGUCGAACGAGACCUUCGGGUCUAGUGGCGCACGGGUGCGUAACGCGUGGGAACCUGCCCUUAGGUUCGGAAUAACUCCCCGAAAGGGGUGCUAAUACCGGAUAAUGUCUUCGGACCAAAGAUUUAUCGCCUUUGGAUGAGCCCGCGUUGGAUUAGCUAGUUGGUAGGGUAAAAGCCUACCAAGGCGACGAUCCAUAGCUGGUCUGAGAGGAUGAUCAGCCACACUGGGACUGAGACACGGCCCAGACUCCUACGGGAGGCAGCAGUGGGGAAUAUUGGACAAUGGGCGAAAGCCUGAUCCAGCAAUGCCGCGUGAGUGAUGAAGGCCUUAGGGUUGUAAAGCUCUUUUACCCGGGAUGAUAAUGACAGUACCGGGAGAAUAAGCUCCGGCUAACUCCGU